rnacentral:lncRNA from 1 species
GAGGGCUGCAGGUGGUAGGCUGCGACCCCUUCCUCCCACAGCCCCUUCCCGCCCCUCGCCGGGCAUCCGCCGACAGGCUGGAGUGCAAUGGCAUGAUCUCAGCUCACCGGAACCUCCGCCUCCCAGAUUCAAGCGAUUCUCCUGCCUCAGCCCCCUGAGUAGCUGGGAUUACAGGUACAUACCAAGAAAUUGAAUUGCUGAGUCACAGGAGAGAUUUACAAAUAGUGUUUUGGCAUCAUGGAACGUGUAGGUUGUACUUUAACGACAACUUACGCCCACCCUAGACCAACACCAACCAACUUUCUACCAGCCAUCAGUACCAUGGCCUCAAGCUACAGGGACCGCUUUCCCCACUCCAAUUUGACCCAUAGCCUGAGCCUUCCUUGGAGACCCAGCACAUACUACAAAGUCGCCUCCAAUUCCCCAAGCGUGGCCCCGUACUGCACCAGAUCACAGAGGGUGUCCGAGAAUACCAUGCUUCCC